UACUAAAUAAACCUCUUGCUGUUGCAACCCGAAGGCUGACUUGUCCUCAGUGGUUUCACUCUUACAUUUGGAGGUUGCACCGAGAUCUGUUGGACAAGGGGAACCACCAGGACAACUCCAGCCCCUUUGGGGAGGUUAAAGCUAAGAUCUUCUCUCCUGGAUCGAUGGGACAUCCUGACCAGGUGGCCUAUAUAGUCACUUGGGAAAGCCUCUCCCUUGAAGCUCCAUCUUGGGUGACGCCCUUUCUCAAUCCUGCACGAAGAACUCCUCUCACUCCUCUUCCUUCUGCCCCUCCCUCGGACCCUUCGACCCCCCCCUUGUAUCCUGUAGUAGUAUAGAAGCUGCCUUUCCCUUGACCAGACCAGAUUGGGACUUCAACACACCUGAAGGUAGGGGACACCUACGCCCUUAUCGCCAGUUGCUCACAGCGGGCCUCCAAGCAGCGGGGCAACGCCCCACCAAUUUGGCCAAGGUAAGAAUUACCCAAAAAAAAAAAAAAAAAAAAAAAAAAGAAAGAAAAAAGAA